rnacentral:rRNA from 1 species
AGUGAACGCUGGCGGUAGGCCUAACACAUGCAAGUCGAACGGCAGCACAGUAAGAGCUUGCUCUUACGGGUGGCGAGUGGCGGACGGGUGAGGAAUACAUCGGAAUCUACUUUUUCGUGGGGGAUAACGUAGGGAAACUUACGCUAAUACUGCAUACGACCUACGGGUGAAAGCAGGGGAUCUUCGGACCUUGCGCGAUUGAAUGAGCCGAUGUCGGAUUAGCUAGUUGGCGGGGUAAAGGCCCAUCAAGGCGACGAUCCGUAGCUGGUCUGAGAGGAUGAUCAGACACACUGGAACUGAGACACGGUCCAGACUCCUACGGGAGGCAGCAGUGGGGAAUAUUGGACAAUGGGCGCAAGCCUGAUCCAGCCAUACCGCGUAGAUGAAGAAGGCCUUCGGGUUGUAAAGCCCUUUUGUUGGGAAAGAAAAGCAGCAGGUUAAUACCCCGCUGUUCUGACGGUACCCAAAGAAUAAGCACCGGCUAACUUCGUG